GACGAAGGGGGCUAGCGUUGUUCGGAAUUACUGGGCGUAAAGCGAGUGUAGGUGGUUGUCCAAGUUGGAUGUGAAAGCCUUGAGCUCAACUCAAGAAAUGCAUUCAGGACUGGGCGACUAGAGGACCGGAGAGGAUAGUGGAAUUCCCAGUGUAGUGGUGAAAUACGUAGAGAUUGGGAAGAACACCAGUGGCGAAGGCGGCUAUCUGGACGGUUUCUGACACUAAGACUCGAAAGCGUGGGGAGCGAACAGG
rnacentral:rRNA from 1 species